GAUGAACGCUGGCGGCGUGCCUAAUACAUGCAAGUCGAGCGAAGCGAGGACGGGUGCGUAACGCGGGGAUAACCUCCUAUAAAAAUGGGAUAACUUCGGGAAACCGGAGCGAAAACUGAUACUUAUGUGUGGAUCCUCGGUGGAUUAGCUAGUUGGUAAGGUAACGGUGUACCAAGGCAACGAUGCAUAGCCGACCUGAGAGGGUGAUCGGCCACACUUGAACGGAGACACGGUCCAGACUCCUACGGGAGGCAGCAGUAGGGAAUCUUCCGCAAUGGACGAAAGCAUGACGGAGCAACGCCGCGUGAGUGAUGAAGGUCUUCGGAUCGUAAAACUCUGUUAUUAGGGAAGCGGUACCUAAUCAGAAAGCCACGGCUAACUACGUGCCAGCAGCCGCGGUAAUAC
rnacentral:rRNA from 1 species